rnacentral:rRNA from 1 species
UUGAACGCUGGCGGCAGGCCUAACACAUGCAAGUCGAACGGUAACAGGAAGAAGCUUGCUUCUUUGCUGACGAGUGGCGGACGGGUGAGUAAUGUCUGGGAAACUGCCUGAUGGAGGGGGAUAACUACUGGAAACGGUAGCUAAUACCGCAUAACGUCGCAAGACCAAAGAGGGGGACCUUCGGGCCUCUUGCCAUCGGAUGUGCCCAGAUGGGAUUAGCUUGUUGGUGGGGUAACGGCUCACCAAGGCGACGAUCCCUAGCUGGUCUGAGGGGAUGACCAGCCACACUGGAACUGAGACACGGUCCAGACUCCUACGGGAGGCAGCAGUGGGGAAUAUUGCACAAUGGGCGCAAGCCUGAUGCAGCCAUGCCGCGUGUAUGAAGAAGGCCUUCGGGUUGUAAAGUACUUUCAGCGGGGAGGAAGGGAGUAAAGUUAAUACCUUUACUCAUUGACGUUACCCGCAGAAGAAGCACCGGCUAACUCCGUGCCAGCAGCCGCGGUAAUACGGAGGGUGCAAGCGUUAAUCGGAAUUACUGGGCGUAAAGCGCACGCAGGCGGUUUGUUAAGUCAGAUGUGAAAUCCCCGGGCUCAACCUGGGAACUGCAUCUGAUACUGGCAAGCUUGAGUCUCGUAGAGGGGGGUAGAAUUCCAGGUGUAGCGGUGAAAUGCGUAGAUAUUAGGAGGAACACCAGUGGCGAAGGCGACUUACUGGACUGUAACUGACGUUGAGGCACGAAAGUGUGGGGAGCAAACAGGAUUAGAUACCCUGGUAGUCCACGCCGUAAACGAUGUCGACUUGGAGGUUGUGCCCUUGAGGCGUGGCUUCCGGAGCUAACGCGUUAAGUCGACCGCCUGGGGAGUACGGCCGCAAGGUUAAAACUCAAAUGAAUUGACGGGGGCCCGCACAAGCGGUGGAGCAUGUGGUUUAAUUCGAUGCAACGCGAAGAACCUUACCUGGUCUUGACAUCCACAGAACUUUCCAGAGAUGGAUUGGUGCCUUCGGGAACUGUGAGACAGGUGCUGCAUGGCUGUCGUCAGCUCGUGUUGUGAAAUGUUGGGUUAAGUCCCGCAACGAGCGCAACCCUUAUCCUUUGUUGCCAGCGGUCCGGCCGGGAACUCAAAGGAGACUGCCAGUGAUAAACUGGAGGAAGGUGGGGAUGACGUCAAGUCAUCAUGGCCCUUACGACCAGGGCUACACACGUGCUACAAUGGCGCAUACAAAGAGAAGCGACCUCGCGAGAGCAAGCGGACCUCAUAAAGUGCGUCGUAGUCCGGAUUGGAGUCUGCAACUCGACUCCAUGAAGUCGGAAUCGCUAGUAAUCGUGGAUCAGAAUGCCACGGUGAAUACGUUCCCGGGCCUUGUACACACCGCCCGUCACACCAUGGGAGUGGGUUGCAAAAGAAGUAGGUAGCUUAACCUUCGGGAGGGCGCUUACCACUUUGUGAUUCAUGACUGGGGUG